rnacentral:lncRNA from 1 species
GGAUUUAUUUAGUGUGUGUUGGAUUCUUUUCCAUCACGAAUUACCCAAGUAAUCUACCCAAAAUAAAUGUUUAUGGAUUCUGUUACAUGUUAUAUGAGAGUAGAUUUGGAAAAGAAAGUUGGGGCAGAAGUAGACAGUACUAUGGAGAUGGAUGUAGAUACUUCAAGAUGAGGUUUGGUUCCGAAACCUUAUAUGGGGGAGAAAUAAUAGGUUAGGGUUUAGAGUUUUUAUAGGCAUUUUUUUAAUAUUUUGAGCUUAAAGUUUGGCAACACAUUGGGUUUAGCACAUUUUAACUUACAAAUUGGGUUUAGAAAAUAAUACCCAAAACAAAUAAUUAAAUAAAAAAAUUAAUUUAAUUAAUUCGGUUCGGUUCGGUUCGGUUUUUUCAAUUCGGUUCGGUUUUUUCGUUCGGUUCGGUUUUUUCGGUUUCGGUUUGGUUUGGUUUUUGGUUUUCGGUUUUUUGAACCCACCCCUAAUCGUUUAUUAAAAAAAAUGACUAAACAUUGUUGAACUCAGAUAAUUUUUUACAAAUAAUCUUUAAAUGAUAAUUGAAAAAUAUAUAAACGAUUCUGAUUGUUGAAAUACAUAACGGAAUAGUGUUUGAAAUGAUAUUUUAACUCAACUAUCUUAAGUUAGGAUUAUUUUGAGCAAAGUAAAUUAGACUAAUAAAACAAAUUAUUUAGUCUUGCCUGGGGAUUUUGUACUUUUAAUUUUAUUGAUGUCAAGAGUGAAGAUAGACGUUAUCUUUGUAAGACUAGUGGGACCAUUAUCAAGGGCAUAAGAGCAUUAUCCUUGAAGAUAGCCGUUAAUUUUAAGAAUUAUCUACGUUCAUUCCUCUUCACUCAUAAAGUAUUCACCUUUGGUGAGGAUUGAAUGUAAAACCUCUCACUUACGAGUGAAAAGUAAUACCACUAGAUUGUAAUACCAAGUGAUUUACGUAGAUAAUUCUUAAAAGAGAAUGCAGAUACUAAAUAAUUUAGAACAUUGAACGACACGAAAAAAAAAGUGAUGUACUUAAUAAAGUCAAUAAUUUAGAAAAAUGUAGCCAUAUCUUAUAUAACCUUAUUUUAAUAAGGUAAUGUUAUUCAAUUAACCAAUAAGUUAAAGAAUAAAUUUUAGAAAAAUAUUAAAUUAUUGAGGGGCUAAAACAUAGUUCAUUUCAAUUAGAGAUGAUAUAUAAAUAUAGUCUAUGACACACCCUAACCCGAAGACUAGGACGUGCUGGCCGUCACGUGAGCGUGACGUAACCAUAACGCAAGCGGAAACGAUUUAAUAAUAAAAUACGAGUCAACGAAAACCACUAAAUGCAGUUAUUUACAACCUAGCAUUCUAUGUGCAUGAGAGUGUACUAAACACGCAUAAACAGAGCAUAAGCGUCUAGGUGCAGUCAAGUAGGACCAUAACUAUUUUACAACACCCUCGGGUGAAUCCUACAUUUAUUUAGUCUGUCAGAACGCCGAAGUAGUCCUCGUAGGCCACCAACGCCUCAACUAUCAACUAGAACCUGGAGGGGCGAAAAACAGAAAACGUGAGUGGGCGAAAAUAAAGCUUUUCCAAAUCAUUUCAUAAAUCCACAAUUAUAACCCCUUUUUGGAAAACCUGUAUACUUUCCCAGAAAAAUAGUAUAUAGCAUAUAUAUCUCAACUGUCUCGAUCAUCAAUCUUAUAACAGAUUCAAUAAAGAAUGUACCAUGCCAAUUUCAACAGUUUAGUAUGAAUGCAUUGACAUAAUAUAAAUCAGGUAAAAGAAAUAAUCAAUCGGAGGCCCUCUAAUAGCCCUGAACGAUUGAACCUAGAGCUCAACAUCUAUCAAUCUCACUCUGCCGGAGUCACUCCGCGUGACCUGUCCGGCCUUCUGCACAUAAGUCGGAACCACCUAAU